UUGUAUUUCUUUAGAAGUUUUUGCGAUGGCGUUACUUGGUCAAAUAAUUUUCGCUCUACUAGUCAUAGCAGUUCUACUAAAUGGCGGCGAAUGUAGACCUGAACCAGUACUUGGUGCUGUGAGUAGCCUAGCCGGUGGUUUGCCUGGCGCUGCUGCAUUACCCGGACUUUUGCUUCCGUUGGCCGGAGCUCUGCCGCUACCUGGUGGACGUUAAAAGCCGCCUUGCAGCGCAGUACGUGGAUUCAAGCUGGUCAAAUGUGAUUUACUCUUCACAAUAACGUGUAAAAUUUUCGACGAAAUAGUUACUUACAAGCCAAAUAAAAAUAUUUGAGUAGUCACAAAA